AUUGUAUUACUACCUUUGCUGGCUCCACCUUCUCACAGUAGCCUAUCAGAUAAGCCGUUACAACUGAGCUUGCCAGUGUCAACAAAGAUAGCCAGGCAGGUUUGCUCACUAUGCGACUCAGAUUUAGGAAAAAAAUCAUACAGACAAAUUGACAGGUCUGAAACCUUAAAAAAAUAUAUUUCAAGAACAUCUUCUACCUCUUUCAGG